rfam:Capsicum annuum cultivar Zunla-1 chromosome 2, whole genome shotgun sequence
UAAUAGUGGUGAGGGCGAUUUCUAAGAAUGCCCUUAAAUCUUUCCCAAGCUUGGUAAAUAUUUCUCCUUCUUUUUGCAUGAAACUCGGAAUCUCAUUUCUUAAGCG